rnacentral:rRNA from 1 species
CCUACGGGGGGCAGCAGUGGGGGAUAUUGCACAAUGGGGGGAACCCUGAUGCAGCGACGCCGCGUGGGUGAAGGAGUGCUUCGGCAUGUAAAGCCCUAUCGGCAGGGAAGAAGCAAGACGGUACCUGACUAAGAAGCCCCGGCUAACUACGUGCCAGCAGCCGCGGUAAUACGUAGGGGGCGGGCGUUAUCCGGAUUCACUGGGUGUAAAGGGAGCGUAGACGGCCAUGCAAGCCAGGGGUGAAAGCCCGGGGCCCAACCCCGGGACUGCCCUUGGAACUGUGCGGCUAGAGUGCGGGAGGGGCAGGCGGAAUUCCGGGUGUAGCGGUGAAAUGCGUAGAUAUCAGGAGGAACACCGGCGGCGAAGGCGGCCUGCUGGACCGCGACUGACGUUGAGGCGCGAAAGCGUGGGGAGCGAACAGGAUUAGAUACCCCAGUAGUC